rnacentral:rRNA from 1 species
CAGUAGCCACGGUAAUACGUAGGGUGCGAGCGUUAAUCGGAAUUACUGGGCGUAAAGCGUGCGCAGGCGGUUAUAUAAGACAGAUGUGAAAUCCCCGGGCUCAACCUGGGACCUGCAUUUGUGACUGUAUGGCUAGAGUACGGUAGAGGGGGAUGGAAUUCCGCGUGUAGCAGUGAAAUGCGUAGAUAUGCGGAGGAACACCGAUGGCGAAGGCAAUCCCCUGGACCUGUACUGACGCUCAUGCACGAAAGCGUGGGGAGCAAACAGGAUUAGAUACCCGCGUAGUCCCUGUCUCUUAUAA